rnacentral:lncRNA from 1 species
CCCGGCACCUCUGGCCAGGGCUGCUCACGCUGCCCAGCCGAGCAGAACCCUUUGGGCACUGGCUGGCACUGGCCUCCACUCCCUUCCUUCCUGCCACAGGCAUUUGGGAGAUACCUCAGGCCAGCUGAGAGGACGGGCAUCGUCCUUGUGGCCAUCGAGAUCCUGGGCCGCUCCAGCCUCCUGGACAAGAAGGCACCCAAGGAGUUUCUGGAGGUGGCCAUGGAAUCCCCUCAGCUGUGGCUGAUGGAUGUGCCAAAAAUUGUGAGACACAUCUUUGCAUACUAUGAUGAAACAAAUGCAGCAACUGCUCACAGCUUUCCCACACUGCUUGACCUGAUGGCCAAUAAGUGGCCUCGGCGAGUCGUCGCGACAGCUCUGGAGGUCGCGCCAAUAUCCUGCGACAAAGUCUGUCUGUGGAAGGCCAUGUUCUCCGUGCGCCAGACUCUGGAGAAGGUUUUGAAAGAGCUGCACAUCAAACUGCAGGAUGGGCAGAAGGACAUCUUCACUCAGCAGCAGAAGUCCUGCCUCACUUUCUUGGCUAUGCUGGCCUCUGAUGAUGUGGAAGAAGAGGAACUGGAUCCAUUGUACAAAGACUUGAGAAUUCUGAUGCAUUCAGGAAUCGAAAUGGUCCCUCUGGUGCUCAGGGCCCUUUUGACGCUGUCGGAGAGAGCUGAGACGGCAAGAAAAAUGAAGCGCGUCCUCCGAGAGUUGCUGAAAAUCCGGUGGGAAUGGUCUUGGGACAUUUCAGUGAUGGUUAUGGACAUCUUCCAAAAUGUACUGGGGCACCUGAAGAAGACAGAGGCCAGCCCCAUUGCUGUGAAGGUGGUGCAGAGGCUCUGGUACCUCUUUGAUGCGAAGGAAGACUGUGUGCGGGAGCACUCCAUCCGCCUCUUCAGAGACCUGCUGGGCAAAACAGUGUGUGUGGACAAGUAUGUCAUGAAGAAAUAUGCCUGGAAGGCCCUGGUCUGCCUCCUGCUUCACAUGAGUGAUGAGGCCCCCAGCGUGGCCAAGGCAUCUACAGAAGCCGUCCUGGCUAUAGCAGAGCUCCUCAAGUGGAAAGAGCUCAAGCAGCUGGCGCAGAUGGAGCAGACGUGGAGGAUGGGCGAGUGCUUGUUGGCCAAGGACAGCAGCAGGGCCGAACAGUUUGUGUGGGACAGCCAGCGCUACCUGUGGAGCCCUCAGGCCCCCAUGCGAGAGGCGGCCCUCAGGUUCAUUGGGCUGGCUGCGCGGCACCUGACAGAGCAGAGUGAGGACACCGUGGCUGAGGUGCUCUGGGAGCUUGACAGACUGCAAACAGGAGACAAGGAUCCCGCCAUCUGUUCCCUGGCAGCUCAGACCAGCUUGGUCCUGAAGUCUCCAAGGAAGCAGCGAAGAUCAGGAUUCUCCCUGCGUGCGCUGUGCUGCUGGUGCCGCUGAGCAGAGAGGGACCUUGAUCCUGGUCAAAAUGAGGACAGAGGUGCUGCCUGUGGAGAGAUCCAGAUCCCAGGCCUGGGGAAGCUGCUGGCACAUCCAUUCAAGUCACUCAAGAGAGAAGUGACCACUUUAUGGCUCUGGAUGCUCUCUGUGCCCACUUCAAGUUCAUCUGUCAGCAGAAAGGUAAGAGAAGCUGUGGUGGGCUGCAUCCCUGCGCACGGCCACAUCCCCCCGAUGCAUCUGCUCGUCUUCCCGGGCCUUGCGAUGGCCCCUUCUGUGCAGACACGGGGCUCAUGUGGGCUCUGCUUCUGUCACAGAACUUGAACUACUGCGGGCCAGAGAGAAGGAUCCUGGGCGCUCAGACCCGCCUGCCUAAAAUCCUGCGAGAGGACUCGGUGUGCCUGGAUCCAAGCCCAGCCACAGACCUGUCCAAACUGUAUAUAGUUCUAGAAAGUUAAUUACCCUAUAUAUAUC